CAGCCGCCGCGGUAAUACGUAGGGUGCGAGCGUUAAUCGGAUUUACUGGGCGUAAAGCGUGCGCAGGCGGCCCGUUAGGACAGGUGUGAAAUCCCUGGGCUCAACCUAGGAAUUGCGCUUGUGACUGGCGGGCUCGAGUACGGUAGAGGGGGGUGGAAUUCCUGGUGUAGCAGUGAAAUGCGUAGAGAUCAGGAGGAACACCGAUGGCGAAGGCAGCCCCCUGGGCCUGUACUGACGCUCAUGCACGAAAGCGUGGGGAGCGAACAGGAUUAGAGACCCCGGUAGUCCCUGUCUCUUAUAA
rnacentral:rRNA from 1 species